CUACGGAGGGUGCAAGCGUUACUCGGAAUCACUGGGCGUAAAGCGCGCGCAGGCGGCUAUUUAAGUUGGAUGUGAAAGCCUACGGCUCAACCGUAGAACUGCAUCCAAAACUAUUUAGCUAGAGUGUGGGAGAGGAAGAUGGAAUUAGUUGUGUAGGGGUAAAAUCCGUAGAGAUAACUAGGAAUACCAAAAGCGAAGGCAAUCUUCUGGAACACUACUGACGCUGAGGCGCGAAAGCGUGGGGAGCAAGCAGGAUUAGAUACCCUAGUAGUCC
rnacentral:rRNA from 1 species